GACGAACUGUCCUAACGUUGUUCGGAAUCACUGGGUGUAAAGGGCGCGUAGGCGGUUCCAUAAGCGGCAUGUGAAAGCCCCCGGCUCAACCGGGGAAGUGCGUGCCGGACUGUGGUUCUAGAGGGUGGUAGGGGGGACUGGAACUCUCGGUGGAGCGGUGAAAUGCGUAGAUAUCGAGAGGAACACCGGUGGCGAAGGCGAGUCCCUGGUCCACUUCUGACGCUGAGGCGCGAAAGCGUGGGUAGCAAACAGG
rnacentral:rRNA from 1 species